AUGGCCUUCCUCCUCCCCAAGCUCAACACACACGUCUUGCAAGCCUCCGGCGGAGCUGCUGCUGCUGGACUCCGUCAAGGGCUCAAGGCGCUGCUAUCCAUCGGCACUCACAAGAAGCUCCUUCGUUGUGUUGAGCUCCAUCGUCGCUAUGACCAACUCCAUCAACGAUACCGCGCUCGAGAGGAUUGUCGUCAGGUCAUCACCGGAGCUGCCGCUGCCGGAGUCCAUGUGUCCGUCAAGGGGCUCGAGGCGCUGCUCUUCAGCGUUUCCAUCACCAUGCAUCCACAGGAAGCUCUGGUUUCCGAAACGGCUUCACAAGAAUUACGGGCUGCCGCGGCGCGGUGGCCGGAGGAGGACGGCCUCGAGGUCCAGCACAUUGGUGAGCCCCUCGCGGCCGCCAUCAUUUGCGUUGUCCUCGAGCACACCGGUGAAGCCUGUAGUCAAGGACGUCGCAGCGGACAGCGGACUCCAGAUGACCAUCUACGCGGCGGCGGGUGGGGUAGCAACAACCCGCCCGCACGCCAAGCUGUUCUUCGGCCGAUGCGCGCGCACACAAUGGCCAUGUUUUUAGUUUACUGA
rnacentral:rRNA from 1 species